rnacentral:lncRNA from 1 species
UGGUUCAUUAAUCGCUCAUAUUGCUAAACUUGAAGCUCAAGUUGUUAUUCUUUUCCACGUUGUUGACAACUGUAUGGUGGAGAUGGUCAAAUGAAUGAUUUAGUUUGCUGCUAUUAUCAUUGGAACCGCGAUUGGUUUAAACGUGGUAAGUGGAGUUAGUUGAGCCAGUCCUCAGAGUGUUGUCAUAACCGAAAGGUAACCU